rnacentral:lncRNA from 1 species
CAGGCAUGUGCGGUGGGGGGCAGGGGACCACCUGCCUCUGGUGUGUGCGUCCUGGUGGACGAGAGGCGACCUGUGGGUGUCUCUGUGUUCAAGUGUCCCUGUGCAAAUGUGUGUGAGGGCCAUGCUGUGGUUGCCAGCCCAGGGUUCCAGCGAGGACCUAACCCCAGAGCCCCUAUGUGGCCACCACCCCAGCCUGGCCUGGGCCCGGACCCCGAGCCAGGCGCUCCCUCCGGCCUGCCCACCCGGGUGCUUUUGUCCGUUUCUGAAGUGACAAGAGACACACAAAAGGGCUUUUAAUUAAAUCAAAGGAGGGGGAAACGGGCCAGCCGGGCCGCUAUUAUGUUACCAAAUGCGAAAAUGAAAACUUAUUUUUAAAGCUCUGGUAUUAAUUUGAGAUUAUUCAGAUAGUUAAUUAAAAGUGCAGCAUGUGUUAAAUAUUAUUUCAACAAAGAUUAUCAUCGGGCCUGCCUGUAAUGCGAUCUGCGGGCUGGGGAGCUGUAUGCAAAUGCCCUGCAGCGGGAGGAAGGGCCCACAGCGAGGCAGCAGCCAGCAGUGGACGGCCCAGCUCAGCUCGGGGCUGGCUCUGUCGGACUCAGAUGGAGCCUCAGCCAGGCCCCCAGGUCCAGGCCCUGGGUGUGCAGGGAGACCGCUGGAGCCGGCCAGGGCCUGCCAGCCAGCCAGCAGCAGGACCCCAAAAAGUCCUCCAGAUGGCCCUUGGGCCUCCAGGGGAUUCGGGCUGCACUUCCGUGCCUCGAAGGCGAGCACCCCUGCAGUCCCAGGAGAGCAGGACCUUGCUUGUCUUGGCCACUCGGGUCCUUGGUCUGGCACAGGGCCUGAUAGGAAUGUGUUGACAGAAAGAAUAAAAACGCCGAGUCGAGUGGGACUGCGGACUGGUACAGCCACGCUGGACGACGGUUUGCAGGUACUUGUACAGUUAAACACACGCUUAUCAUGCGGCCCGAACAUUCCACAGCUAGGCGUUUACUCAGGAGAAAUAAAAACCUAGGUUCACACAAAAACCCAUAAAUGAAUGUUUGCCACAGCUUUAUUCAUCAUCACCAAAAACUGGAAACAACCCAAACGUCCCUCAGCUGGUGACGAGAUAAACACAGUGGCACAUCCAUGCAGUGACAGAAGGAGCCCAAAGAGAUGCGCACGCAACGUGGGCGAGUCUCAAAGGCAUGUUGCCCGGGAAAGGAGCCUUGCUUGAAAGGCUACACGCAGCCUGAUGCCAUUUAUGUGACAUCGAGAUGAUGCAGAACUAUGGGGACAGGGCACAGACCGGCGGUUGGCGGGAGCGGGGUGUGAGGGACUGCUGUAAGGGGAUAAGGCUCUGGCAGGUGCAACUCUUCUGUAUUUUGACUGGGGUGGGGGUUACACAACUGUGUGUGUUUUUCAAAACAUAGAACUAUACGUUUAUUUUUACUGUUACUGUGUGCAAGAAACAAGUAACAAUGAAAAAAAAGUUGUAAACUUUCAGAAUCACGGAGCAGAGCGACUGGGUCCCACCAGCCCUCUGGGCAGAGACGAGGGCAGAAGCCUGUCGGCCUCUCCGGCGGCGCUGGGAGGAGCCCUCUUUCUGCCCACUGCACAGAAGAGUAGACUGAGGCUUCGCGAGACGCCCAGCCGGAUGCGCGGGGGGCAGCCAGGAACAGAAGCCGGAGGCCUGCAUGCAGCCCCACCGCCGACCCACCAGAGACGAUUCUCAGGGCCGAGGUGUUGGAGAAUGGCCUGGUUUCUCCCCUUGGGAAGAGGGUGCCCAGUGCCCAGCCACCACGAGCCUGCUGGCUGUACCCGUGGGACGACCUCUCCGCACAUUUCGUGCGAAUGGACAUCCCCCGCAUGCGCCCUUUGGUGUCCAGCUUCUCUCACUACGAUGACGUGCUCAGGGUCGCCCAUGCCUGGCCUGUGUCAGGAUUUCCUUCCUUUUUG